GUCAUUCUGAUGUAUCUUUUCCUUUUCCAAGUUGUUGAUCGUAGGUUCUUGGAGUAGAAUAUCAUCGGUUUAUUCGAUCUUUGGCAGCUUGAUUCUUGUUCCAUGGUUUUCGAGAAGCACUUCCAAUCCUGUGAUAAUUUUCUUUGCUUCUUGUUGGUUUCCGAUUCUUGAAUCCAACUACAGACGUUUUUGUCGAUCUUUUGGCGGAUGCUUGAAUCCAGAUGCCAUUGUUUUCGUCGAUAUUUUGGCGGCGUGAUUCUUGUUCUGUGGGUGUGUUUCUUGUUUCAUGAUUGUUCGUUCAGGAGGGGACUCUGAUCCUGUUAUGAUUUUUCCGUUUGUUGUUGGUUGCGGAUUCUUGAAGCCAUUUGGCGGCGUGAAACUUGUUCUAUGUGCGUGUUUCUUGUUUCGUGAAUUUUCAGAAGUGGGUUCUGAUCCUGUUUUGAAUUUUCCGUUUGUUGUUUGUUGCGGAUUCUGUAAGUCACUAGACAUUUUCUUCAACGAUCUUGUUUUUUGUUCGCGGAUUCUUGUCACUGGACAUUUUUUUCACUAGAAUUUUCCGUUCGUGGAUUGUUGUUUGUUCUGUGGGUUUCCAAGAUGGAAUUCAUGUUGUCAUAAAUGUGUGAUUGUGCCGUCAGAGCGAGCGAGUUUAAACAGACGCGGUUCCGUCGACUAACAUCUUCCUUUUGGCGUCUCCUUCUCAGAUGCUGAGAGUUCGCAUCGUGAAUUCUUGUUUUUGUUGUGUUCUGUAGGAAAUAGAAAUCCAUGGUAGCGUUUCCCUCCCUCCUUUCCGAUUCUUGAUUGCCGGAUCACGAUUAGGCUACGACCAACCGUAAGUUCGCCUUUUAUUUUUUGCCCACCAUCAAGCGCCGUGCAAAUCGUGAUGGGAUGCAACAGCGAACACUAGUAAAUGCAAACCCACGUCCGUACAAUUUUCUAAUGGGAGAACAGGAAUUUAAUGCAUUGUCUGCAAGGUUUGGGGAGCUACCGUGGUCAUUUCACCCUCCUAGAGAACCACAUUGGACAGGAUGUCUUCCUCCCCAAGGUUGGAUGGGUUUGUAUAGGUGCUAACGGGGCUUCACUGUUUUGGAUGAAAUUUCAAGUUGUAGGGUCGACCUACCAUGUUGUCCAAUAAAUUAGAAUUAUCGAUUGAUCUAAUGGUCUUAGGAAUUCUAUCGACUUUAAUGCCCCUAAUAAUUGACUCUUGUGCAUGUGACAUGUCACCACUGGCAGUAGAGUUUGUCUACCAGGAACUCUUUUUUGAUCCAGCUAUGUAGAUCUUUUGCUGCGACUGAGCAAAAGAUCUUUUUCUUUGAGAAAAAAGUUGUAAUUCACUGAUUCUGUUUGUGAAGUUGAUGAAUAUGUCUUGCUUUGUUAUAAAUAAGCUAUAGGCUGCUGAAACUUGUCUCGGUUGUUCAACAUUACUCACACUGUUUAGUUUAUACGAGUCAUUUCAGAUGCAUCAUUUAAGAAAGAUCAAAGUCAUUUAGGAUCAUUGUAUUACUUCUUGCGGCUACUGCCAUUGGUUUAUGUCAGUUGAACAGGUAUUUGCCCCAUUUUCAUUCACCAUGCACGCCAUGUAUGUAGGUCACUGUAUCAGUAUGAUAGAGUUAGAGGCUUUCUCAAGAUCUAUAUUUUUUAGAAAUAUGUCAUUACAGCAGUUUGUCAUCACACUCUGUGUGUGGAUAGUAACCAGGAUCAAAUGAUCCCGUUAAAAAUCCUGGACAUAUAUGUCACUGGCUUGACUUAAGGAAUUGAUUUCAAUUGGCCAACUUAAGAAGCAUAUUUCAAGUGGAGGAAAAAGUGUGAUAAGUUGCCUUUUUAUAUGUUUGAUAUAGCUUAGCUCACCUUUGAUCUCCUAUUCUUUCUGGGUUUAGAUUGUUAUUGCCUAGUGCACUGAGCUUUUUGCUUCUUCUUUUUUUGGGUUCAUUUUCAAGCACUUUUGCAAUUUGUCUUUGUAUUUCUGAUUCCGUACACACGGAUCUGCUGCUCCUGCCAUUUCCGGCAUAUUUUUAUUUAAAUUAACUUUAUUGGCAUGAAUUACGGAUUUAGGAGAUAUAUGCAAGGGGUAUGCCCUCCCUAUCUUUCUUUCUGGCAUUACUUUUGUCCAAUAUAAGCAUCUCCACAUACGGCUGUCAUGAUAUGCAUUUACUGUUUCUAUUUAUAUUCUUAGCUUUUAUAUAAUUUUCCUUGAGAUGAAUCUGUAUGGACAGUUUCAACAGUGAUUCAGUGUCCGAACCAGGCGAUGAGUUUUAUGUGUGCCCAACAUUCAUAGUUAAACCAUAUGCUGUCAUAAGCCUCGGUUUUGAGAAUUGUGGUGAUUUUUCAUGAGAGUAGGUAGUUAAGAGGAAAGAAAAGCCAAAUUGUCGUUGAAUCUUAUGGGCCUUUUGAGGUAGGUGUUUAAUUAUUCUUACUGCUAUCACUAUCAAUGUCACUAUUUUUUUAUAUUAUGUGUUGUUGUCAUAGUAUUAUUCAAGGUUCGCAAUACCGUACCGUACCGGAGUUUCGACCUAGGCUCGGUACCGGUACGGUACGGUAUACCGCUCGGUACACCCAAGUGUACCGAACGGUAUAUUCAGGCGUGCCGAGCACUGUAGCAGUACUGCUACAGUGUCGGAACGGUAACAUAUGGUCCGCGUACCGAAAGUCUGGUGGACCGAUAUGUACCGCCCGUACCGGGCGGUACGGACCGGUACUGCAAACCAUGGUAUUAUUAUCAUUGUUGAUGUAUAUACACAUGUAUAUAUAUAUACAUACCGGUAGAGAAGACUGCAAAUCAUGGUAUUAUUAUUUUUGCUUGCUGGAGGAUUUGAGACUAUAUGCUUGUUUGCUCCUCGUUUCUGCAAAACGUCAGGCCUUACUGUCUCUGACGUAAUUUGGUGUAAGAACCAGUAAUUUUUUUUUUAUUGCUUAUUUUUUCAGGUUUCUGCAAGCAUGCAUGGGAGAGCAACAUUUGGGGAUACCGUCUGUAGUAUUAAUUUAUAAUGGUUUUCAGUGCUAGUCGAUAUGUAGAAAUGUAAAAAAAACUAGUUUUGUUGCCUACUUUCCAACUAGUUCUGUCCUCUUUAACUCGGCAGCGCAUAAAAAAUGUAAUUUGAUGAAGCCAGCCCAGGACAGAUUUCGUUUUAUCAUAGGACAGACAUUAAAAAGAUGAGAUGAUGCUAUCCCAAGUGAUGCCAAAUUGUAGGCAACAGUACAAAGAUGAGAAUAGAAUGCUAAUUCCGAAGUUGUGUGUCGGCGCUCUAUUGAUGCGAAUUUUUGCAUUGAAAUUCAUUCGAAGAGAAAAACGUACGGGGAAAAGCAAGGAAAGUAUAUGCAACUAAAGAUUGCUAAGAAGCUUCCAGGGCAAGCCUAAGAAUGAUUUGCGGUGCAAGUGUAGGACGCAAUUAAUGUAGUUGGUCUCAACAAUUUCAGCUGGAUUUGCAACGAUCAUAAGAAAAAAACACCAAAAUGUGUCAGCAUGCCAAGAAAAUUGACCGAGGUAGGCCAAGAAAAUAUGUUUGUACGCAAGCGUUAUAAACAUUUUAAAUACAAACAUUGUGAUUCUACUCCA